rnacentral:tRNA from 1 species
GCCCCUAUAGCUCAGUUGGCAGAGCAGUGGACUUUUAAUCCAUGGGUCACGGGUUCGAGCCCCGUUGGGGGCA